rnacentral:lncRNA from 1 species
AAUGGGAAGGAUGGGAAUCCUUCUUUCCAGUAAAUAGAGCUCGAGCAGAGGAGUCUAGCUCCUCUCGGACUUCAAUUUCCAUCAUAAAAUUGGGAGAAGAAGACUCCCAAUCAGAGUCAUCUUCAUCCACUUUUUUUUGUUUUCCUCCUUUUUUAUUUUUCCAUACUUUAAGAUUCAUGCAAGAUUUGGGGUUAUCAUAAUAGGUGUAUGCUUUAUAUCC